rnacentral:lncRNA from 1 species
UCUGUCCAAGGAAUGUAUUUAUAAAUGGUUCCAAUUAGAGUAAUGAAGGAUUCAUGUGAAAACAAUGAUCAAUAGCCAACCUUAAAAACAAUAUAAGUCAAAGACAGAUGUAAACUGUGACCAGGCAUAACAGAGUCAAGUUAUCUAUGGGGAACGUAUACCAUCGCUCCUGGAAAACAAAUAUUGAUUAUGUUAUGAUAUUCUAUUAUUUUAAGGCAAGUCACUCAAGGAUACAAGAGCAAAGUAAACUCAAAGAAAGAAGGGAGGAAAUAAUAAAGAAAAUAACAAAAUUAGUAAAAUUGAAAACUAACAAACAAUUCAAAAACAGAAAAAAAAAUCAAACCAAAGAGUUGUCUGUUUGAAAAAAAAAUAAGAUGGCUAAAUUUCUAAGAAAAAUGACAGAGAGAAACAGAGGGGGAAGAUAUAAAUUACCAAUAUCAAGAAUAAAAGAGAAAACACAUUACAGAUACCCACAGGCUUUAAAAAGAUGAAGAACUAC